AAACUUACCUGGCUGGGGGGCUCUCGCGAUCAAGAAGGCGGGACCCCCAUGGUGAGGCCCGCGCAUUGCACUAUAGCGCGGGCUGACCUGUGUGGCAGCCUCGAGUUGAGGUUAGCCAACAGCUAAAUUUUUGCGUUUGGGGCUGCGUUCGCGCGGCCCUGAC
rfam:Ancylostoma ceylanicum strain HY135 Acey_s0160_scaf, whole genome shotgun sequence.